rnacentral:ncRNA from 1 species
AGAAGACCCUGUGGAGCUUAAAAUUACAACUUAAACAAGUAUACUUUAUUCUCCUAAGGGUUUAAACUUAUAGAAACUUUAAGUUGAAUUUUUGGUUGGGGUUACCUCGGAGCACAAGAAAACCUCUGAAUGAUAUAACCAACAUUAACCAAUCCAAGUGCCAUAAACCAAUAAUUGACCCAAAUUUUGAUCAACAGAACAAGUUACCCCAGGGAUAACAGCCCAAUCCUAUUUAAGAGCCCAUAUCGACAAUUAGGGUUUACGACCUCGAUGUUGGAUCAGGACAUCCAAAUGGUGCAGUUGCUAUUAAAGGUUCGUUUGUUCAACAAUUAAAGUCCUAUGUGAUCUGAGUUCAGACCAGAGAAAUCCAGGUCGGUUU